ACCUGGUUGGAUCAGUUGGUAGAGCACGUGACUCUUCAUCUUGAGAUUGUGAGUUCAAGCCCCACAGUGGGUG
rnacentral:tRNA from 1 species